AAGUUGAUGACAUAUCAUUUUGU
rnacentral:snRNA from 1 species